AAUUCUCAACCACACUGAUUAUGAUUGGUGUGGCUUGGAUAUGGGUGUUGUGGGCUUCUGUAGUCCGCUCCCCUGAAAUUAAUUAGCAGUACUUUUGGUGGAACUGUCUACAGGUGUGAUAAUUAUCUACAUCCUAGACAUCUGCUGCACUGCUUUCCAAAAAACCUUGCUUGUAUUGACAA
rnacentral:misc_RNA from 1 species